GAGUGCGCGGAGGACCGGGUUCCAACCUGCAAUAAACGACCCUUGCCGGUUGGCUUUGGCUCUGGACUCUGAACAAGGCACAAGAAAGUUGCAAGAAACGUAUUACGUGAAUGAUUCAUUAAUGGAAGGCUGAUAUCACAUACACCACAUACUGAUAUCAAAACACAACCAAGCGUGGAAAAAUCUCUGCAAAGAUCUCACAUCUCUGCGUGAACCGAUAUGUGACUUUUGAUGCAGAAGUUAUCACUCAAGCCAGGGAUGCAGUCAUUCUAGAGAUACAUUGGCCAAAGUUCUGAUCACCGGAUGAAUUUCUCUUCAAGAAUGCCCUACAGGAAUGUCCCAGAAAAUUCCAUGAUUCACCUAUAGAGCUCUGCCA